rnacentral:lncRNA from 1 species
CGACGAUCAUCUCCUUUAUUGCCGCCGCGGAAACCUCUAAAGAGGCCUGGGACAUCCUCACGCGCACAUACGGCACUGCCUCUCGUGGUCGUAUCAUGGCUCUCAAAUAGCAGCUCCAUAAUCCGGUAAAAGGUUCAAAAUCUGUUACUGAUUUUAUGCACGGUAUUCGCGUGAUUGUGGAUGAAUUAUCUCUCUUGGUCAUUACUGUUUAUGCUGAGGAUCUUGUCAUUAAGGUUCUAAAUGGUCUUGAUUAUCCGUAUAUGGAGCUCUCUCAUGCAAUCCAAGCCCGUGAACCUCCAAUCUCUUUUGUUGAAUUUCAUGACAACCUGUUAAGCAUGGAGGCUCAGAUUAUUGCCCGUGCACCGGCCACCUCCGCCGCAUCUAAUUUGGCUCCGUCAGCUGCCUUCGUCGCCGGAAAGCAGUCCGGCCGUAACCGCUUCGGUGGCCGCGGCGGCCGUGGCAGCCGUGGUUUAUCCUCCGGCCGCAGUACUUACUCCAACAGUGGCCAAUAUCGCGGGUACAAUGGGAAGUGCCAGCUCUGCAGUGAAUUUGGCCACUCCGCGCGCCGCUGUCCGUCCUAUCCUAUUUUGCGGUGCAAAUCAAUCCCCUCACUGUGGACCACUGCCGCGACCAGCAUACACUGCGUCAUAUUAUCCGGCUGCUCACACAGCCCAUCACUCUCCAUCUGAUUGGAUCCUGGACUCUGGUGCCACUCAUCACAUAACCAAUGAUCUUGCCAACAUGUCUCCUCACAGCCCUUACACUGGUUUCGAUGAUGUGGUUAUUGGUAUCGGUGAAGGUAUAAAAAUUACACAUACUGGCCAACUUUUCAGUUAUUCAUCUCUUUUAUUGCCUGGAGCGCUCUGUGUUCCACAUAUUCGUAAAAAUUUGAUCUCUGUUGCUCAAUUAUGUCGUCACAAUAAUNNNNNNNNNNNNNNNNNNNNNNNNNNNNNNNNNNNNNNNNNNNNNNNNNNNNNNNNNNNNNNNNNNNNNNNNNNNNNNNNNNNNNNNNNNNNNNNNNNUUUUCUUAUACUGAUUUUCAGGUGAAGGAUCGUCGCACGUGGGCAACACUCGUCAGCGGCCCACGUAGGAACGACGCCUACUACUGGUCGGCGGCUUCCCGUCUCCCGUUCGCCCUCACGGCACAAAAGCUCCCUGCGUCAUAAUGGCAUUCUCGGUUUGGUCAUCCGUCAGCUAAAAUCCUACGUCAUUUAAUGUCUUCUAGCAGUAUAGCAUCCAGUAGUGUGUCUGAUUUUGCUUGUGUCUCUUGCAAGCUUCNNNNNNNNNNNNNNNNNNNNNNNNNNNNNNNNNNNNNNNNNNNNNNNNNNNNNNNNNNNNNNNNNNNNNNNNNNNNNNNNNNNNNNNNNNNNNNNNNNNNNNNNNNNNNNNNNNNNNNNNNNNNNNNNNNNNNNNNNNNNNNNNNNNNNNNNNNNNNNNNNNNNNNNNNNNNNNNNNNNNNNNNNNNNNNNNNNNNNNNNNNNNNNNNNNNNNNNNNNNNNNNNNNNNNNNNNNNNNNNNNNNNNNNNNNNNNNNNNNCCCACGUUUAAGUCCAUUGUCGAAAAGUACUUCUCUACUAAUAUCAUUAUCCUUGCCUUACGCUGUUUUCUUGCCUCCCAUGGAAUCUCACAUCUCACUUCACCUCCUCAUACACCUCAGCACGUGGCUAUGCUGAACGUCGUCACCGUCAUAUUGUCGAUAAUGGUCUCACUCUCCUUCAUUAUGCCUCUGUCCCUCUCAUUUACUGGCCUUAUGCCUUUGCUAAUGCAGUCUAUCUCAUUAAUCGUCUUCCCAAGACAAAUCUCUCGAUGCUCUCCUCCUUUGAGUCUCUCUUCUUGGUCUCACUCCCCUUCAUCAUGCCUCUGUACCUCUCAUUUCCUGGCCUUAUGCCUUUGCCACAACAGUCUAUCUCAUUAAUCGUCUUCCCAAGACAAAUCUAUCGAUGAUCUCCUCCUUUGAGUCUCUCUUCCAUAGGCGCCCCAACCUUGCCAAACUGCGUGUCUUCGGCUGUCAAAGCUUUCCUUGGCUUUGGCCAUACACCUCACACAAAAUGGAACCCUGAUCUCGUGCAUGUGUCCUCUUCGGCUACUUAUCUACUCAAAGCGCAUAUCUAUGCUUUGAUCCCUCAACGUCACUCCCACUAGCGAUCCUUCACCAGACGCACUGCCGACGCCAUCGCCCGAGCCACCAGCGCCUCUUCCGGCACCGCCAGCGGCCCCUGCCCCCGCUACACCCACUGUGCCGCCACCUUCCUCCUCUCAGGGUGGUCAUCACAUGCAAACUCGCAGCAAAAAUCACAUCUUUACGCCCAACAAGAUUCCAAGGGCUGGCCUCUUCGUUAAAUGGAUGUGAACAAUGCCUUUCUCAAUGGGAGGCUUACAGAGGAUGUCUAUAUGGCACAACCACCGGGUUUUGUUGACAAAGCCUAUCUAUCUUAUGUCUGUAAGUUACAGAAAGCUAUUUAUCGUCUCAAACAGGCACCCCGGGCAUGGUACAGUGAGCUCCGCCAAUGCCAUUUGNNNNNNNNNNNNNNNNNNNNNNNNNNNNNNNNNNNNNNNNNCAAAGCCUAUCCAUCUUAUGUCUGUAAGUUACAGAAAGCUAUUUAUGGUCUCAAACAGGCACCCCGGGCAUGGUACAGUGAGCUCCGCCAAUGCCUUUUUGCCAUGGGCUUCGUCAACACUACCUCUGACACUUCGCUCUUCGUCUUCAGCAUUCUGGUAUUACAGCCUAUUUUUUGGUAUAUGUUGAUGAUCUUAUAUUGACUUUUAAUGACUCUGCCUUCUUAAACCGUAUGAUUGACUCUCUUGGGACUAAAUUUUCUCUUAAAGACAUGGGUGAUCUAAGCUACNNNNNNNNNNNNNNNNNNNNNNNNNNNNNNNNNNNNNNNNNNNNNNNNNNNNNNNNNNNNNNNNNNNNNNNNNNNNNNNNNGACAUGGGUGAUCUAAGCUACUUUCUUGGUGUUGAGGUUCUGCGCAGCUCCAAGGGGUGUUUUCUUUCUCAGCGUAAGUAUGUUGUUGAUCUUUUGCUCGGCAUAAUAUGCUGGAAUCCAACCCUGAUCAGAUACCAACAACGGCGUCCACCCGCCUUCAUCUGGCCGACGGCUCGGCUCCUGCCUAUCGACAGGCCCUUGGGGGCCUCCAGUAUCUCUCCUUCACUCGUCCUGAUAUCUCCUNNNNNNNNNNNNNNNNNNNNNNNNNNNNNNNNNNNNNNNNNNNNNNNNNNNNNNNNNNNNNNNNNNNNNNNNNNNNNNNNNNNNNNNNNNNNNNNNNNNNNNNNNNNNNNNNNNNNNNNNNNNNNNNNNNNNNNNCACUCAUUGGGGUGCAGUUAAGUGCCUCUUCCGGUAUCUGAAUGGGACGCGUGACUUCGGAGUCUGGCUGCGUCCUUCAUCUGCUAUACCUCCAUUGUUUCUCUGAUGCUGAUUGGGGAGGAAACUGUGAUGACCGCUCCUCAACUGGUGCAUAUGUUGUCUUUCUGGGGCAUAAUCCUAUUUCCUGGAGCUCCAAAAAACAGCGUUCCGUUGCACGAUCUUCUACUGAGGCUGAAUAUCGUGCCAUUGCUUCUGCUGCCGCANNNNNNNNNNNNNNNNNNNNNNNNNNNNNNNNNNNNNNNNNNNNNNNNNNNNNNNNNNNNUACUGCCGCUGAAGUACGUUGGCUUCAUUCCCUGCUGCGCGAGCUUCAUGUCCCUCUUCCGGCUGCUCCUGUCAUUUACAGCGACAGCAUUGGCGCCACUUACCUCUGUGCCAACCCUGUGUUUUAUUCGCGCAUGAAACACAUCUCCAUUGAUUAUCACUUUGUUUGUCAAUUGGUUCAGAAUAAGUCUCUUCGUGUUGCUCAAGUAUCCUCUGCUGAUCAGCUUGCUGAUGCUCUCACAAGCACUUAUCUCGUCCUCGGCUUCUUCUUCUGAUGUCCAAGAUUGGCGUGUCCUCCGGCCCUCCAUCUUGAGGGGGCGUAUUAGAAUAUAUUGUGUAUAUNNNNNNNNNNNNNNNNNNNNNNNNNNNNNNNNNNNNNNNNNNNNNNNNNNNNAUAUAUUGUGUGUAUCUUUUUAUUAUUGGUAGAAUAUUCUUUCAUUAUUGUACAGUCCUAUAGUUGGUAGGAUUUGAUUUCUUCCAUUAUUGUACAGUCAUACAGUUGGUAGGAUUUGAUACCUCUUGUACUCUAUAUAUACUUUUGUGAGCAAUACAAGAAAAUCAAUUCUCCCAAAAUUCUCUACAGUUUGUACACAUACCUUACCUCUAACAUGGGGUAAAGAGGUUGUUUCCAAUAAACCAUCGACAUCCUUUCUUCCAAGACACACCCUGCUCUUAGGGUGACCUGAAUUCUCAGCCUCUUAAUUGAAAGUGGAUGGUGCUUACCAUCAUAGCAACCCAUUUUAUCUUAAAUUUAUAUUUGGUCAAAUACUGUAACAUAAAUUGAGAACAAAAAUUAAUUAGGAGAGACACCAUAGAAAAGCAAGUAUUGAAUUACCAACAUUGCACACAAUCUUCUAACAGCCUUCUCAUUCUCCUUUCACGUAGACACUCAUUUCAGCGACUUUUAUUUCUUUUAGUUUUGUUUAAAAUGUGAAAAUCUAAACUAUAUUUUUGCACGGUAGUUAUUAACAUUUCCUAUCUUAUAACAAAACGGCUUCUUACUUUACGUAAUAUUUUUGUAUGGGGCCGAAUUUUGCCCUCAACGUUCUUAUGAUUAACGGGUACGACUAAUACAUAGACGUCCACUAAAGUGAGGGCACAACCCGAACGUGUGGGUGAAAGCGACAUCAUUUAGGACUUAAUUUCUCCACUAAACGGAGGCCACCUUCUUUUAUAUUUUCUUUGAUUAUUUCAAAGAAGGUCUCCUACUAUAUAAAGGAGACCUUCGCAUUUUAACUGGUAUCAUGAUUAUUCUUGAAUAAUACAACUUCUCUCUAUCUCUAUCUCUUUCCCUGUCUCCUACUAUUGCUUCUCUCUUAAACUAAGAUUAUUUUCUUUAUCUUUGAGAUCUAGAACUACAAUAUCAUCUAUCUAACCUCUAGGUUAGAUUAUAUUUGAUUACGAUUUACCCUCAUUAUCUUUUGAUUGUUUUCUAAACAUGCAAAGUAUAUCCAUAACUUUAGAUCUAAACAAUUUGGCGCCGUCUGUGGGAAUUUCGAGAAUCAAAAUCAUAGUUUGCACCUAGAGAACCAUCGAAAACCCUUCUUUAUAACACAAAUAAAAAAUGGCUGACAACAACGCAAGAAUGAAAGCGCUAGAAGAUGUUGCAACCAACCUCAUUGGUCCUCUCAACGAAGCUGGUGAAGAGGGUAUUUCGAUUGCAACCCGUGGCACCACCACAAGCGGGGAAAUCCCACCUCCACCACCUGAAGAUCUAACGAUCUCGCGGGAAAAUGACACUUCUACAUCUGCAACUAAAGAAGCACCCCCAGAGGUCAGGAAACUACUGGAAGAGUGGUUAACAAGUACCCAACAACUAUUCUCUAUUUCACAGGAACAAAAAUGGCUGAAAACAACGCAACAAUGAAAGCGAUAGUAGAUGUUGCGACCAACCUCAUCGGUCCUCUCAACGAAGCCGGUGAAGAAGGUAUUUCGGUUACAACCCCUAGCAACACCACGAGUGGGGAGAUCCCACCUCCCCCACCUGGAGAUCUGACGAUCUUGCGGGAAAAGGGUGCUUCUACAUGUGCAACCGAAGAAGUAUCCCCGGAGGUCAAAAAGCUAAUGAGAGAAUGGCUAAUAGGUGCCCUAAGUGGUCUGAUCGAAACGUCACCACAAAGUAACUUCAGAUGUGCACCGACAGUAGAUCUCACCGCUGCCAUGGCUGAAUGGCACGAGCAAAUGACAUGCCAGAUGAGGUACAGGCCAACUAUGGCAUGCUCACAACCAUUCUUAAAAUGAUGGAGCAUAUGGAAAGCGAGCACCGGUCACUUCGUGACCAGAUGAAGGAACACUAGGACAGGGUAGACAAGAUCCAGGGUGCCCCCAUGUUGCUGACAAAACGCGAUGUUGGGAGAUUCGUCGAACAACCCUACGCUGAAGAGGUUGCCUCGUACUCUAUUCUGAAGACCUUCAAAAUGCCUCCCUACCUAAAAAUAUACAACGGGAUCGCGGAUCCCGAGGAUCACCUGAUCCACUAUAUCAUGGCUAUAAAGGGCAAAGACCUAUCAAAGUAACAUGUACCAUCAGUGCUACUGAAAAUGUUCGGUGAAAUGCUGACAGGAGGAGCCUUAACGUGGUACUCCCAAUGACCGACUAAGAUCAUUUCUACGUUCAAGGAAAUGGCGGACAAGUCUGUCACCGCCCAUGUAGGAGCAAAGAAAGCAUAAGAAGGGUUAACGAUGUCUUCGCCGUCCGUCAAACCGCAGGAGAAGGACUCAGAGACUUCAUAGCCAGGUUUUACAGGGUAAGGAUGAGCUUACCCAACAUAUCGGAAGGUAUGGCGGUGGCCGCUUCCCAGAAUGGAUCAAGCAGAGAUGGUUUAAGGGCGAGCAAAAAAUUACUAAGCCAUCCAAUAAUGUACCCUCCUACCACACGGGAAGAAAUCCAUACUGCCUAACGUGCCGAGGUAAGAGCAGACGAGGAUGACCUCAAUGGGCCGUCCAAACGGUUGACGAAAAUACAUCCAGAAAUUAGAAGGGAUCGACGCAUUGAGGGACGGUGGGAACAAAUUCCGCGUCUCAACAAAGAAAGGCACCAGCCUUACGUCAUAUCCUCCCAUCUGCCUCCACCAAGACACACGGAUGCGCUACAACGACAUGUCACUCCAUGCCGAAACGAAAGAGGUAUGCCUCUUUAUUAUCCGCCCAUAAUUUCUGCAUGCCUCCUUCAAAGAUAGUGUACACACUAGAGAAGCUGGGCAGCAAGGUACAAUGACCAACGAAGAUGAAAUCAAACCCCAAUACAAGGAAAUCAAACGUCCUAUAUGAGUUCUAUCAGGAACAAGGGCACAAAACCGAGGACUGCAUAGGUCUGCGGCAAGAAGCAAUCAGAAUGCUAAAUCAGGGGUACCUGAGGGAACUACUCAGCGACAAAGGGAAAACCAAGUUUGCACGCGGACGUGAGCAACCCCAUGGGCUGCCAAAGCAACCCUCCCCAGUACGUAUGAUUAAUAUAAUCAUCGGAGGCAGUGACGACUCAGCAAUCACCCACGUCAAGCUCACCACCACCCACAAACUGAAGCAAACCAUCUCCUAAUAACGGUGUGAUGACUUCGAAGAUAGUAUCACCUUCGAUAAGUGCGAUGUCGGCGGUUUUUCUUUCCUUCACUAUGAUGCUUUAGUUAUCACUUUACAUAUCGCAGAUACAGAUGCAUAAAGAAUCAUGAUUGAUGAUGGAAGCGGCGCCAGUAUUAUCCACCCAAGGGUUCUCAUACAAAUGGGACUCGAGGACAAGAUAAUACCUCAUCACAUAACACAAACUGGUUUCAAUAAUGCAGUGGAACGGACCUCCGGAGAAAUAUCCCUACCCAUUUUGCGGAAGGAGUCAUGCAGGAAACAUCUUUCCACGUGAUGAACCAGGAAAAAGCAUGCAACACCAUCAUAGGACACCCAUGGAUACAUGUCAUGCGAGCAGUUCCGUCAAACUUUCACCAAAUGAUCAAAUUCCCUACUUCAUGGGGAAUAUUCAGCACCCGAGGCAAGCCACGCACUGCAAGGGAAUGCUACAAAAUAGCUCAAGAUUGCACUCACACUGAACAACUUAAGGGGACGAGUGUAGAGGCAUAACAAUCAGCUAUGUCAGGGACAAAGGUCAACCCGACAAGGGAUACCAUUAAAGAUCCUGAUACCGUAGAGUCCUGUUAAGAUACGGUUGAAGAUCUCGACCCUGUCCAAUUGGACGACGCCGACCACACAAAGAAAUCCUACAUCAGGAACGACCUUACUAAUCCAAGUAAGUAUCGUGAGUUUUUAACUAAUCAUGCAGACAUGUUCACUUUUUCCCAUUCAGAUAUGCUAGGGAUCCCGCGAGACAUCUCCACUCACAAGCUAAACAUUGAUCCAUUACACCCUCCCAUGCGGCAAGUGAUGAGUAAAUUCAAUGCCGCUCUCAACGAAGUGGUCAGUGAGGAAGUAGACAAACUACUCGCCAACGGCUCCAUCAGGAAUCAAAGUACCCGCAGUGGGUCGCCAAUGCUGUCAUGACCAAGAAGAAUAAUGGGAAGUGGAGAAUGUGCGUAGACUUCACCGACCAAAACAGGUCAUUCCCAAAGGAUUCAUUCCCACUACCCCACAUCGAUCAAGUGAUUGAUGCUACUGCAGGACACAAACUUCUAAGCUUUCUAGACAUUUCUUCCGGCUACAAUCAGAUCAAGAUGGCCGAAGAGGACCAGAAAAAACUUUCAACACCACCAAGGGACAUAUUGCUACAAGUAAUGCCCUUAGGGCUCAAAAUUGCAGGAGCUACGUACUAGAGACAUGUCACCAAGAUGUUCAAAGAGCAAUUCGGUAAUACCAAAGAAGUCUACAUCGACCACAUGCUGGUAAAAUCAGCAAAGAAAGAGGACCACGUCAACCACCUGAAGGAAGCCUUCGAGAUAUUGAUGAGAUACGGAAUGAAGCUGAACCUUGAAAAGUGCGCAUGGCAUCAGGGAAAAUCUUAGGGUUUCUCGUAUCCCAACGAGGCAUCGAGGUCAACCCAUAACAUAUCAAGGUGAUAGACUCCAUACCUGAGGUGUUGAACAACAAAAAACAGGUACAAAAUCUAACAGGGCAGAUAGCCGCUCUAUCUAAAUUCAUCUCGCGGUCUUCCAACAGGUGCCAUAAAUUUUUCAAUGUGCUGAAAAAAGAGCAAGGUUUAAAAUGGAAUGAGGAAUGCGUCGAAGCCUUGAGAAAGCUAAAAGCGUACCUAUACUCAUCGCCCCUGCUAGUCAAAGCGAGCCCAGGCGAACCUCUGCUGGUGUAUCUGGUCGUAUCCGAGGUAGCCGUUAGCGUAGUCUUGGUCCGCGAAAAAGAAGGUACACAAUCUUCUAUUUAUUACAUUAGGAAAACCUUAGUGGACACCGAAACAUAGUAUCCGCACCUUGAGGGAUGAGCUCUAGCAUUGGUCGUCGCUUCACGGAAGCUGCGGCCCUAUUUUCAAUGUCACACCAUAAAAGUGGUGACGACCUUCCCGUUGAGAAGCGUCCUGCACAAGCCUGAAUUGUCAGGCCGGCGUUUCACCAGAUGGGCCAAUGAGCUUAUCGAGCACGACAUCUCAUACCACCCAAGAAGUGCCAUAUUGUCGCAAGUACUUGCAGAUUUUAUAGCAGAUUUCAGUGCAGGAAUCCUGCCAGAGGCGGAAUGUGAGGCACAACGUGCCUCCUCCAAUACCGACCUAUGGAUUCUCUACACUACCGGUGCUGCCAAUGCAUCGGGAUGGGGACUGGGACUCAUCCUCUAGGUUCCCACGGGCGAAACAAUUUGCCAAUCCAUAUGAUGCCCUGAAAUGACUAAAAAUGAGGCCAAGUACGAGGCCGUUAUCGCAGGUCUGAAACUAGCCAUCAAGUAUGGGGCUCGACAAAUCAACCUCUAUUACGACUCUCAACUUGUUGUUAAUCAGGUUGUUGGACUUACCAAAUAAAAGAACAAAGGCUGUAGAAAUACCAAUCAGAAAUCCACAGCCUGAUGGCCGAGUUUGACGAGUGCCGCUUCGAGCAAAUUCUGAGGGCACAGAACAUCGAAGCAGAUGGCCUAGAAAAACUUGCCACAACUACUAAAUAUUUUCAUAAAGAGAGCGUGGUCACCCUCCUCCAUUCAGCCAUCGACCAUAUUGAGGUACUCUUUUUAAAUCUGACUUGGUACUAGCGCAACCAAUUUGUAUCCUACCUAUAGGAUGGAACGCUGCCACUUGACAAAAAAAAGAGGCAAAGAAGCUCCGCGUACAAGGUGCCCUGUAUUGCCUAAUAAACAACGUCCUCUGCAAAAAGAUGUUCGGCGGACCCUUGGCCAAGUUUCUACGGCCGCACCAAAUAAGGCAAGUGCUCGAAGAAGUGCACGAAGGUCACUAGGCCGCUCAUACAGGUAACCGCGCCAUUGUAUGAUGCCUCAUAUGGACCGGCUACUAUUGGCCUACCAUGAAGAAAGAAGCAGCGGAAUAUGUUCGCCGGUGCUAACACUGCCAAAGUACACCCCCAUGAUACACCAAAGUUCACUCGGUCACAUCCCCAUGGACCUUCAUCAAAUGGGGGAUGGACAUAGUCAGACCCCUCCCCACGUGACGAUGAUAGGUACGGUUUUUACUAGUUUUAACUGACUAGUUCUCCAAGUGGGUAGAAGCAGGUGCGUAUGCUCAAAUACACGAACAGGAGGUCAUCGCCUUCAUAUGGAAAAUUUUCAUAUGCCGCUUCGGCAUCCCCAAAGAAAUCAGCUGCGACAAUAAACGACAAUUUGUCGGUCAAAAAGUGAUAGAAUUCUUCAAAAAAUGGCACAUCAAGCGAAUACUCUCAACGCCAGACCAUCCCGCCGGCCAAUCAGAAUCCUCCAACAAGACAAUAUUAAAUAUACUAAAAAAGAAACUUGAGGAAGCCAAAGGCUAUUUCCUCAGCUACUGCUAGAAGUAUUAUGGGCGCAUCGGACCACACCCAAAUCCAGCAUAGGGGAAACACCAUACUCAAUGGUCUACGGAGCCGACGCGUUCAUACCAGUCAAGGUUGGUAAACCAAGCUUGAGGUACUCGCACAUCAACGGAAUAGAAAAUGAUAGGAACAGGCUCCAAGACCUCGACAAAGCUGAGGAAAGGAGAGAAAUGGCCCACAUCAUAACGAUAGACCAAAAACAAUAUGUCGAAAAGGUACUACAACAAGAGGGCCAAAAAAACCACUCAAAGUGGGAGACUAUGUCCUCAAAGCCAAGACAUUGGCGUCCGAUGACCCAAGCGAAGGAAAAUUGGGCACUAUUUGGGACGGACCCUACAAAAUCAUAGCAGCAGCCAAUAAAGGAGCAUUCCGUUGGAAACAAUGGAAGGAAAAUGCUACAAAACAAUUGAAAUGUUUGCCACCUCAAGUAUUUCCACUUCUGAAAGGCGUCUACCAAGUCGUACUCUUUUCCCUUACCCGAGUUUGUCCCAAUUGCGUUUUCUCGGGGAGGUUUUUAACGAGGCGGUGGAGGGGACACCUAGAGAUAUUUGCGGAACAAGUUUAUCAUAUCAGCCUCUCCAUACGCUUUCCAGGCCGACAUGGUAAAGGGAUUGGACUAGCAUGAUCUCCAAUGUAUAAAUAGUUAUGGCCAUCUCCAAUAUAUAAACGACUAUGGCCAUCACAAAUGUUUAAAUGCCUAUGGCCAUAUCCAAUGUAUAAACGGCUAUGACCAUAUCCAAUGUAUAAAUGGAUACGGCCAUCUCCAAUGUAUAUACGACUACGGUAAUCUCCAAUACACAAAUGGCUAUGGUCAUCUCCAAUGCGCAAGUAGCUAAGGCCAUCGCCGCCAACAGUCGACCCAGUUUGACUACCUCAAGCAAGUGAUUCGACGACAAUUGAAGUCACCCAUAUGGACAAGGCCAUCAACAAUUUAUGACCAAGGUCAUCAACUUUAUUCUGGCAAAGGCCAUCGAAUUCAUUAUGGCCAAGGCCAUCGCCGCCAUUUGUCGACCCAGUACGACUACGGCAAGCAAGUGAUUCGACGACAGUCGAAGUCAGCCAUAUGGCCAAGACCAUCAACAAGUUAUGAACAAGUUCAUCAACUUAAUUCUGGCCAAGGCCAACGAAUUCAUCAUGGCUAAGGCCAUCGUCUCCAUUAGUCGACCCAGUUCGACUACGGCAAGCAAGUGAUUCGACAAAAGUCGAAGUCACCCAUAAGGACAAGGCCAUCAACAAGUUAUGACAAAGGUCAUCAACUUAAUUCUGGCCAACGCCAUCGAAUUCAUCAUGGCCAAGGCCAUUGCCGCCAACAGUUGACCCAGUUUGACUACGGAAAGCAAGUGAUUCAACGACAGUCAAAGUCACCCAUAUGGCCAAGGCCAUCAACAAGAUAUGACCAAGGUCAUCAACUUAAUUCUGGCCAAGGACAUUGAAUUCAUCAUGGAUAAGGCCAUCGCCGCCAAUAGUCGAUCCAGUUCGACUACGACAAGCAAGUGAUUGGACGAAAAUUGAAGUCACCUAUAUGGCGAAGGCCAUCAAAAUGAUAUGACCAAGGUUAUCAACUUAAUUCUGUCCAAGGACAUCGAAUUCAUCAUGGGUAAGGCCAUCACUGGCAACGGUCGACCCAGUUCAACUAUGGCAAGCAAGUGAUUCGACGAUAGUCGAAGUCACCAAUAUGCCCAAGGUCAUCAACAAGUUAUGACCAAGGUCAUAAACUUAAUUCUAGCCAAGGCCAUCGAAUUCAUCAUGACUAAGGCCAUCGCCGCCAACAGUCGACCCAGUUCGACUAUGGCAAGCAAGUGAUUUGACAACAGUCGAAGUCACCCUUAUGGCCAAGGCCAUCAAUAAGUUAUGAACAAGUUCAUCAACUUAAUUCUGACCAAGAUCAUCGACUUCAUCAUGGCUAAGGCCAUCACUGUCAGACAUCUAUCCAGAGCGACCACGGCAAAUAAGCAAGUGACUUGACGACAGUCGAAGUCACACUCACGGCAAAGGCCGUCGAAAUUAUAUGGCUAAGGCCAUCCAUGCUAUCACUGGUCAAGGCCAUUGAGAUCGGAUACGAUAAAAUUAACAACCUGACAUAGGCCAGAGACACACGUAUAGCCAAGGCCAUCGAUGUUAAAACAGCAACCUAGUUUGAUUGAUCUCCGCUAAUCACCGACCUAGUUUAAUUGCGACAUAAAUCAUAUGAACAUCAAGCAAAAACAAAAUAAAAGUCUGACAAGUAAACGAGCGCCCGCUCUAUGGAGACGGGAUACCAAAAGGCAAGAGAUCAAAGGAAAGAAUAAAUUAGCAGAAAGCAAUACUUCAUUAAAUACAAAAAAUACAUAUACAUCCGACCCUGAAAAAGGCCCCGGUUACAUACUAUGUGUAUAUAUAUAUAUAUAUAUAUAUAUUUAUAUUUAUAUAUAUAUAUAUACAAGCCCUAAGAGCCUUCGCCGCUUCGUCCACCAUGCCCUGCUUGGCCGCUCUUUGGUCCGCCAUCGCCCCUAAGAGGAUAAGUCUUAGAGAUCAAAGAGCCGGACUCUAGACGGUUGACGUCUUCAAAGUUACAACCCAUCCUAUCAGGGGAAUCAGAGUUAUAACCAUAAGAGGCACGGGCAACACGGGCUAAGCUCCAUUGCUUCUCAACCUCCACCUUAGUGGCUCGACAAGAGAAAAGUACACUUGAGUACGCCCAAUCUAGCCUUGGAAUACACCCACAUCUCGUGCUUCGGGCUUUGAUAAAGCAGCCAGCUCAAGGGUCUCAACUUCAGUCACCUUGGCAUCGAGCUCAGCAGUCAAAGCGGCGACUCUGGUCUGCAACUGAGCCGCAUCUGCCGCUACCCCACGGCUGAUCUCCAGCUCCUCUUUUUUUGUUUGAAGGAGAGUCUAUAGCUCGAUGUUUCGAGCCAAAGAAGCUAUUGGUUUCUCGUUGACUUCCUCCAACUCGGCCACCCUCCACUUCAACUGAGCUUCUGAUUAUUCAAGACCUCAAGGAAAAACCAAAAUCGAGGUUCCUGCUUAAGCUCAUCUGCCAACACCUGAUGCUUGGAACGACAUUCCUUGUACUUCUUCACCAUUUUGUUGAAGGUGGCUGCCUUCCUUUGCUCACGCCGCCUCCUCUCCACCUCCAAGACAAAGUGUCUAAAAAGAAGAGAAAAGAGAGGAAAUACAAGUCAGUACACACCAAAGUUGCCUUUACGGCCCAUAAAAGAAAAAGUGAAAGCUACAUGCAAAGCUGCACUGGCGACCCUAAUAGAAAAAUCCCUGUUAUUAACGCCUUUCAGCGUUUCAUUGUCCACAGCCGCACAUAACAAGGUUAUUUUCGUUCCGGCUUGCUAGCUAUUUUCUAACAAGUUAUACCUGCCAGGGAUCACGAUUCGGUAGGUAGACCUGUCUGCCCUCAUCUCCAUGCGGGUUGAAUCCCCCGUUACAUCUCCACGAGCAGCCUCAUGGCCUAUCCUCUAAGUCUCUACCUCGCUUACCCUAUUACAGAGGACGACCACCCUAUGGGAUGCGGGCUGAGCUGGCAACGGCGGCGGUUGUCCUUAUGGGAGCCGACCUCCUUGAAUGAAUAGCCUCGGCCAUAAAAACUGGCCUUAGCUCUCAUCGGGACUCGCUAGGCCUCACGACCUCAGUCGUAAUACCCUUACCGGUAAUAAGCCAUGCGCCUCUUUCUCUCUAGCGGCUUUUCGCCAUUAGAAGUCUCCUCCACAAGCUUCAGGGAUGGAUUUGAGGGAAAUAGUUCAUCAGUGUGCACAGCCUCGGACACCAUCACAGGCAUGGCCUCAGUUGUCAUCACUUACAUAGCUGCUGGCCCGAACUCAGAUACCGCCACCGGCGCAGUCCCCUGAGAACCCGCAAGAGCACCAUCACUGGGCGAGCCACGUGAUACGACUUCAUCAUCUGAGUCGAUCUCUACCCUAGAUGAGGCAACUACGGUCUUCUUCCUUCUGGAAAUAACCCGGUCUGGCAGCACAAGCGAGUCACGUAGCGAAAAUUUAAGAGGCUUUUGAAACCGAAGCCAAAAUAAAUAAAAAAACUACCUGGCGAGCCAUACUGGUUACGGAGUAUGGGCCAAGUGCGGCACUCCUCAGCGUAUGGUAUCAACCCCUCCACCUAUGAUCUAAUAUUUUAAAUGGACCGGGGCGGAGAAGCCGCCACUACAAAAAAAGAAGAAAAGGCGUCACAACGGCUGAAGAGUCAGAACCCCAAUUAAUCAUAAAAUCCACACAAGGACACUAACAUUCUGAGUUCCACCUCUCUGGAACCCUUCAGGAUCAGACACCAGGUGCUCCGUCCUGAUGUAGAAAUAUCUUUCCCAGAAGUCGUGAUUGGUCUUAUCGUUAGACUUCACUGUAAAGCUCUUCAUACCACGACCCUUUAGAUGGAGAACGGUACCCCUCAAGUAACUUGGGCUGAACAUCUGCAGAAGAUGAUAAACCUAGACCUCGCUCCUCGCCUUGGCGCGUGUACGUAGUAAGGAUUCUACACACCUUCAACAUAUAGGGCGUGAGCUGGGCCGAACAUACCUUGUAAAAGGGGCAUAGCUCCUCCGCUAAAGGGUUAAAUGGUAGGUUGUAUCCGAUCCUAAACGGAUACUCAUAAAAAGUACAAAACCCAGGCCUAUGCACAUUGGCAUAGUCCAUCCUAGUUGGAACCAUUUCUACAUGGCCCAGAAUGUUGCACAUUGAUUGGAGGGUUUCUAAGUGGGAUUCCAGCAGUUCACUGUGCUCCCAAGGAAUUAAUGCGCUAUUUGUUUUAAAAUCACUUCGAACGUGUAUAUCUUUCGGAAGCAAAUUCUCCACAAAGAGGGGAACGAGCGCCUUUUUAUUCUCUUCCUCUUCGCCAACAGAAGAGGGCGGAACCCUAGAUGGGGCGGUACCCUUGAUUUUCUUACUGCUUUGGCGUUUUACCAUAAUGUUUUGUCUAAGAAAGAAAGAAAGUUCUUGUUACAAGAAAUAAAGCUUCAGAGAGAGAGAGAGAAGAGUCUCACACAAUAAUAUUAGUUAUCGGAGAGAAAGACAAUGAAGAAAGUUUGGAAAUAUUUUCCAAAGGUUUGAAAGAUGAAUCAAUUCGAACAUUUCCCUUUUUUAUAGGGUAAAAUCCCGUGGAAAUUGAAAAGGCAUGACCAAAAUGGGAACGGAAAACUAGAACAUCACAUCACCACCUGAACCACCUCGGUAACAAAAGUAAUAAUGACCCAUACGACUGAUGACAUCAUUCCAGAAAGAGAUCAUACAUCUACGGUUCAACUGAGUCAUGCAUUUUUGUCUCAUUCGUGCUAAAGUACAAGGAUGUGGCCGAAUUCUCUUAAGACGAGGCUUAUAAUUCCGUCCAUUGAAGACACCCACCGAGCACAUUUCCAAUUAACGGAGGUACUAACUGUAUGUGGUCAAAUUUGGCCCUCAAUGUCCCCAUGAUUAACGGGUACGCCGAAAGAGAAUACGCCAACUAGAGUGAAAACACGGCCCGAACGUGUGGGUGAAAGCGACGUCUUUAAUGACUUAAUUUCUCCACUAAGUGAAGGCCACCUACUUUUAUACUUUUCUUUGAUUAUUUUGAGGAAGGUCUCUUACUAUAUAAAGGAGACCUUCACAUUGUAACUGGUAUUAUGAUUAUUCUUGAAUAAUAUAAUUUUUCUCUCUAUCUCUAUCUCUUUCCCUGUCUCCUACUAUUGCUUCUUUCUUAAGCUAGAUUAUUUUCUUUAUCUUUGAGAUCUAGAACUACAAUAUCAUCUAUCUAACCUCUAGGUCAAAUUAUAUUUGAUUAUGAUUUGCCCUCAUUAUCUUUUGAUUGUUUUCUAAGCUUGCAAAGUAUAUAAAUAACUUUUGAGCUACACAAUUUCAUCAAGCGAUUAGUGUUUAAAGAGUCUAUUACUUCUUCCGUCCCAAUUAAUGAUAUGGUAAUAUUAAAAAUUUUAGAGUCAAACGAAUUUGUUUUACGGUGAUUUUUCCAUAUGUCGUUUAAACAUUUUAAAAUGCUUCCUACGACUAUAAUACUUGUUACGUAGUUUUAAAAAAAAUAAUUAAAAGACUUAUAUCUAAAUUCAUAAUUAAAAUUAAAUGAAAUUGACUCUUAAAAAAUAUUAUACCACCUAUAUUUUUUUGAAGAGGAAAAACCCACAGCCGUACAAUCUUUGCUACAGCCUCUACCUUUCGGGUGAGCACUUUAUACGCACUAAGUAAACCUCCCUUUUGUAAUAAUCCACAAAUCAUGCCGAGAAUGUAAAUCGCACUAGACAACUUCAAUACGACAAGCUCAACCCAAAAAGCAUUUAGGAGGGAUUCGAUCGAGGUUAUCCAUACCAGCCUCCAAACCAAUAGAACAACCCCGAAGGGUUAAAUUGAUACGCUAAUAAUUCGGUACAUUAAAGAAAGUGAAAGAGCAUUUAUUAGAACUAAAAGGAUUAUUAUUGAUAUCCAAAAAAGACUUUCAGUUUAUUAUUGAUAAUCUAAACAACAAACUAAAAGGAUAGAAAAGUCGUUUCCUGAACCUAGCAGGAAGAACCAUUCCCAUUAAAGCAACCCUUGCAGCCAUUCCUAACCACAACAUGCAAAUCUUUGAUCUACCAAACGCUAUCCAAAACAAGAUAGAAUCUUUCAAACGGAACUUCCUAUGGGGUAGCACGGAGGAAAAAAGGAAGUGUCACCUACUAAAUUGGAAUAAAGUCACUUCUCCAAAAAACUAGAGAGGCCUUGGACUCUAUAAAACCAGCUACAAAAAUAAGGUCUUCAGCACUAGCCUUUCUUGGAGAUACUUGAAUAACAAAGAAGCUCUUUAGGUGAAGACUCUACAUAUUAAAUAUGAUAGGGUUGCCCCUUGCAAUAACAAAUUAGUCCCUAAUCCGCGAUCCUCUCAUAUCUAGAAAAACGUUCAUAAUGUAAAAAAGAUUUGUCAGAAAGGGAUUAUCUGGACUGUUGGGAAUGGGGAAAACAUAAACCUUUGGAACAACCGUUGGAUAAACCAAGGAAACAAACUAAGAAACAGUAUCCAGGGUCCUCUCCAAAAGGGGAAGAGGACAUGAAACUCAGCUCAAUCAUCCAACAUGGGUACUUUAAUCUAUCAAUUCUAUCCUUUGAGUUCCCUAAAGAAAUAAUCCAAAAAAUCCAUAGCACUUAUAUACAACAAUGCUGCCUGGUAAGGAUAAAAUAUCCUGGAAUUCUUCAGGCCAUAAUUCCUUCUCAGUCAAGGCAGCCUAUGAUCUUACUUCUCUCCACGAAACUCAAGUUGAGGAAAACAACCUCAACUAUAGGUGGAUCUGGAAAUGAAACACCCUUAGUAAGCUUAAGUACUUCAUGUGGUUACUUACCCUCAACAGACUCCCAACAACCACCUUCCUAGCAAAAUGUAGUAUUUGCACUUCGUAUAUUUGUACCAUAUGUGGAGCUGGGAAGGAGGACAUAAAACAUAUACCCUUAUAUGGUACCUACUCUAAGGAAAUUUAGAGGCAAUGCGACAUAAAACACAAUUACCCACCCUUGGACAAUGGUCCAACUAUCUUCGAUUGACUAGAACUCUAACUAAAAUCAAACAAGAGCUUUAACAAAUAAAUCUCUUGACCCAGCUUCUUACCUUUCCUCCUUUGGUAUUUAUGGACCACAAGAAAUGCUAGAAUCUUUCACAAAAAUAACUCAUAUCAUAACAUAAGCAAAGUGAUCAAUAGCACUCAGGAAUUCCUCUUCCUUAGCAAUUGGAACACUACUACAUCAUCAAAAAGGAAAAUGCUCAAAUAAUGGGAUCCACCAGACCUAGAAACCUACAAAUGAAACAUAGACGGAUCAUGUCUAGGUUGUCUAGGAAAGGGAGGCACAUGGGGGUCUUAAGAGAUAACAACGGAAAAUGGAUAUUAUGUUUUAAUUAGGGCUUUACCAAUGCAACAAAUAUCCAAAUGUAAGCCAUGUCCUUACUACAAGGUCUACAAUUAGCCAUCCAAAACAGACUAACCCAUUAGUCAUUGAAACAGACUGCCAGGACUUUAUUAAUUUGAUUAAAAAUGGAAAAAUGCUUUAUCAAAAUAUUAUUCAUGAUUUCAGGUUCCUAUUAUCUGAGGCGGUAUCACCUCCAUUGAAACAUGCAUUCAGGGAAGCUAAUGGGGUAGCGGACGCCUUUGCCAAGAAGGGAUGCAGUCUGGACUCUUUUGUUGAUUUAGAAUUGUACUAUUAUCCACCUGUAUGUGCUAUUUGUUAUGAAAUAAUAAAAGAAGAAGAAGAGUAUUGUAGAGCAAAAUAGAGAGAGAGGGAAUUCUUAUUGAUAUGGGAUGAUUUACAAUGGAAUAGAACCCAUUUAUUAAUAGGGAGAUGGUGACUUAGCCACCAAGUAAUAAACCCUAGAAUCUCUCUAAAUAUAGACAUUCACCUUAAAUAGAAUUCUAUUUAUAACACUCCCCCUUGAAUGUAUACUCAAUAAAUAAUGUGCCUCGUUAAAACCAUAACAAAAAUAAAACCCAGUGGGAAAAAAUUCUAAAAAAGGAAAAAGAGUACACAUGUCUAGAUAUGCGUCUAUUGGUUGCCUCCUUAAAAACCUUGCAAGGAACACCCAGUGGGACAAAACCUUGUAAGGGAAAAAGAUUAUAACGCAUAUUAACUCCCCCUGAUGAGAGCAUCAAUUCACAUCCAUGAGCCUUCACAUUCCAAUCUUGUGCACCAUCUUCAAGAGAUUGUUGGUAGAGAAUUGAUAAAUAAAUCAGCCAUAUUAACUUGAAUGAAUAUUUGCACCUUGAAAUCAUCACCCGUGAUAGAUAUCUAACAUCUUCACAAAUAUCGUGAAAUGGCUCUUCAAUAUUUUCAUAAAGGUAUCCUCGCUAUCACAUUAUCAUGCUUAUAGUUAUAGUAAGAUACAAAUGUGGACAAAUUGCACUGAGGAAGUGGUAUCUCAAGAUCAAAAAUUGUAGAUGCUUCAAGCAACUUAAAUCCUUCAUGGAUUGUCAUAUAAGUUAAGUAAUAUAAGCCAUAUUAUAGACUUUGGAUGGAUAUCAAGUUUUCAUGUCACGCUAGACAAAUAAGAUAUCGAAACCUGAUUGGGCAUACCAUUGACUUUAUACUUUUAAGUAUUUGAACUACAUGUCCAAAACUACAUGUCUUUCAUAUAGAAUCAAUUCUACUUGAAUUGUAUCUCUUCCAUUUGGCCAAUACUUUUGUUUCUAUAUUCGAUAUACUUAAGAUCCUCAUCUAAACUUAGCGCUAAGAUAGACGUCGACGACAAAUAUUUUAUAUCGGUUCCAAAAUUUUUCCAUAAAGACAUAACAUAGAGAUCUCUUCAUUCAUAUAUUGAGGUACCUAAAUCUCUCAUGAGAUUUUCUGAAGUGUUAUGUCAUGUGNNNNNNNNNNNNNNNNNNNNNNNNNNNNNNNNNNNNNNNNNNNNNNNNNNNNNNNNNNNNNNNNNNNNNNNNNNNNNNNNNCAUAGAGAUCUCUUCAUUCAUAUAUUCAGGUACCUGAAUCUCUCAUGAGAUUUUAUGAAGUGUUAUGUCAUGUGAUCUUCUAGAUCACUUGUCUUCUUAUUAUGAUCAGUUUGAUCAUUUGCUCAUCCUUUUUAUCUAAAACCGGUUUGUCUAUAUGCUUUAAGCGUACCAUAGACUUUGUCCUUCUAGGACUUAAUAUGAGCAUUUGUAAUGAGAAUAUAGUUACUUUAUUUGGGUCAGAAAAUGUUUAUGGCAUGCUUUGCAAUAUAUUGCAAACGAGUUACCUUUUUAUGAACAUAAAGUUCAUAUUAUCAUAAUCGAGGAUCUAGAUAUACAAAUAAUAAUUCAUUCCACGUAACUUUUUUUCAACUGUUUAUCAUGUCUCCCCCUCAUGUUAGAAAAACUAACUUACUUUCUCAACUUUGAGAACCUAUCGUUGUAUUUUGUGGUGUUAAUCAAAAUAUACACCGCACAUCAAUAAUAUUGAGAUGGAAUUAUUUGGUUCUAACUUGUUUCUUUAACUUUGAGAACCCAUCUUUGUACGUUAUGGUGUUAAUCAAUAUACACCGCACAUCAAUAAUAAUAAGAUAGAAUUAUUUAGUUUCCGACCCUGAACCACUUGUGAGGGGAGAAUAUAAUAUACUCUUAUAUAUAACCUAUAUCAACCUGAUAUAGAUAACUUUGUUCUCAUAAGCAAUAAUUUAGCUAUUAAGUGGAGGCACUUGAUAAAUUAUUUUGCUAAACCAGCUGUGACGUAAACCAAUUUAUCAAGAUAAACUAUCUUGGACACAAAAUCUGAAAAUUAUGCUCUAAGUUAAAUUAUUGAACAAAUUACCUCGCAAACACCAAGUUGNNNNNNNNNNNNNNNNNNNNNNNNNNNNNNNNNNNNNNNNNNNNNNAAAUUACCUCGCAAACACCAAGUUGCGGGUUAAUAAUAAUCGCACAUGUAACCAUCUCAUAAAUGCAUCUUAUGUGGUAUACACGGCAGGUGAAUGGGCCUAUAUUCACCUUUGAUAUUUUCAGAAUUUAUGGGAUUCAGUCCCAGCUUUAGUUGAUCAAUUAAUUAACGAGAAUAACCAAUAUAAGAGAAUUCGUAAAGAACUUUUUAGUUCUUUAAUAUUUAUCCAUGUGAAUUCUUUAUUAUUUUUUGCACAUCAUGCUUAAAUUGAUAUGGCUAUACUGAUUAUGCCAACAGAAUAAAUUAUCAAUAUUGAUAAGUUCAGGUUUACAUCAUGACAUGUGCAAUUAUCAAUAAAAUCCAUGUUUAUUAUGAUAUGAAUUUUUAUAUCAAUAAUCAUCCAUUUUAUUGUGGCAUUCUUUUGUUUGUAUAGUACAAACUGGAGAAUAAAGCGGGUAGCUUUUCAUAUACAUAUUAUCCUACUACAAGUUGUUGUAAUAAAAGAUAUCAAAUAUUUCCUUUAUUUGUAGUUUCAAUAUAAUCAAUCGCUUUCGCGUAUACUUUGAAAUCUGAAUAAGUUUCUUUGAGACUUACUACAACACAAUACCCUAUUGGUAAUUAAUUGUAUUUCUCCAAAAUAGUAUAAUUGUCUCUUGGAGAGCUCUCAAUUAAUUUGGUACUACCACAUAUUCAUGAACAUCCAUAUGGUGAAUAUCUCUUUUAAAGAGAAAAUUAUACCAUUAUGGUCAUGGUUAAAAUUAUAUGCAAGAUAUGUUUCUUGCAUUAUUGUUGUCCUUUAAUGAUCAUAUUGGCAAAAUAUUUUGGCGUACAAUAUGUACGUGAUCAAUGACAAUUCAUGCCAUAAUAAUGAUAUUAUUAUCUUAUAUCAUCUCAAACCUCCUUCUAGAGGUGAGUGUGGUAUAUUCAAUACCAAUAGCAUGUUCAUAUUCUUCCAAUAAAUCCUUUUAGAGGUGAGUGUGGCAUAUUCAAUACCAAUAGCAUGUUCUUAUUCUUCCAAUAAUGAAUAUGUAUUCAUAAAUUAGAUGUUGUCACAUUCACACCAUGAAUGGNNNNNNNNNNNNNNNNNNNNNNNNNNNNNNNNNNNNNNNNNNNNNNNNNNNNNNNNNNNNNNNNNNNNNNNNCCAUAAUAAUCUGUAUGUGCUAUAUAAAAUCUCAUGUCAAAUCGAUGACAAAUAUUACUUUCACAGAGUGAAUGAUUAUUUUGAGAAUCCUUAUUUUUCUCAUUACCACAAUAUGACGAUUAUAAUUUCGUCUAUUGCCACGUCCACAUCCAUUGAGACCUUCACGGUAAUAAUUUAUCUUUUUUCAGACUUAUCACAUACUGUUAUCACAUUCUCUAGAGAGAAUGAGAAUGGAGCAAAUUCAAUGGAACGGGUUUUCAAUUCUUUUCCCACAAUCAUACAUGAUUUUGAUCAUGGCAAGCAUAGAAAUUUUACCACUUUAAGUGGGUGUAAUUUCUUACAAAUUCCAUUAGAAUGUUAAUCAAACUUUGUUGUCUUUGCUUCUAUGUAAAAUCAAAUUAUAGAAUAUCAAGAAUUUGAAAGAGAAAAGAAAAAUACUUACCUUAAAUCCAGAGUUUAAUCAUGAAGGAAGUCCAUAGAAUAAUUGACAAUCAUUAUGCUCAAUCCCAAAACUUCAACUCAAUUGGUUAGAGUCUCGUGCUGAUAACAUGUUAUUAAAUAAUAAAAGAAGAAGAAGAAGAGUAUUGCGGAACAAAGUAGAGAGAGAGGGAAUUCUUAUUGAUAUGGGGUGAUUUAAUGGAAUAGAACCCCUUUAUUUAUAGGGAGAUGGUGACUUAGCCACCAAGUAAUAAACCCUAGAAUCUCUAUAAAUAUAGACAUUUACCUUAAAUAAAAUUUUAUUUAUAACACUAUUUAAUUUUUUAAUCAAUAUGGGAUAUGCAUUACGUGGUCUACACGAAUCUUAUAUUGUAAUGACUACUAAGUUUUUGUUAUGAAUAAAUAUCUCUAAUUACCAAAAAAAAAGUAUUGAAUUACCAACCUUGCACACAAUCUUCCAACAGCCUUCUCAUCUCACCGGUUCACGUAGACACUAAACUGUUUCUUACUUUAUGUAAUAUAACCUCAUCAAGCGAUAAGAUUAGUGUUUAAAGAAAAUGAAAAGAGGGUUUAUUACUUCCUCCGUCCCAAUUAGUGAUAUGGUAGUAUUGAAAUUUCGAUAGUCAAACGAAUUUUUUAGGUGAUUUUUUUAUACAUCGUUUAAAUAUUUUUAAAUGUUUUUUACUACUAUAAUACUUGUUACAUAUUUUUUUGAAAAAAAUUAAACACUUAUAUGUAAAUUCAAAAUUAAAAUUAAAUAAGUUGAGUCUUGAAAUUCAAACUAUCCCAGUUAAAUUGAUAAGCAAAUAAUUCGGUUCACUAAAGAAAGAGAAAAGAGGGUUUAUUUGUUUGGUGCAAACAAUAAAGAAAAGAGUGAGAGAAAAAGUAGUUUUUUUUUAGAAAUCUUUGGAAAACUCGCAAUCAUUAUAGCCUUUUAAGUGAGUAUUUUGCGAGUACGCGAUAAAACUCAUAUUGUGUAAUAGCCAAUAAAUCACAUAGAGAAUAUAAGUCACAUCAGACAAGUCAUCUCCUCCAAACCAACUAAGCACCCCAAAAGGAUUAAAUGUAUACGCAAAUAAUUAGGUAAAUUAAAGAAAGAGAAAGAGCGUUUAUUAGUUUGGUACAUAAAGGAAAAUUAUAUUUUGUGUUUUAUAUAACUGACAUUAAUUGUAUAAAAAAAAAUUUAUCUCAUAACUUUAUAAACCCAAAUUUCUAUGGAUCCAGAAAUGUAAAAUUGAAAUUCACAAAUUUAUGAGACAAAAAACAGACAUAUAUAAUUAAUGUAAACAAAAUAAAAUUUCUAGUACAAAACAAUCAAAAGAGAGAGAAAAAGUAAUACUCUCUUUUAUUGUGAUAGUAGUAGUAAUUUAUUUCAAACGGUCAAAAAGCGAAGUGUCAUCCUUGCAGCGAUAACCCCUUAUAAAACCCCUCAUACCAUAUAGCCGAAGUAGCUCACAGAAAAGAUAUAGGAGCAUUAGCUUUCACAUACUAAAAUAUUUCUUCUUCACACUCUCAAAGAUUUGUCAAGUAAAUAUGGCAAAAUCUAUGCGCUUUUUUGCUACUGUGUUACUUCUAGCAUUGCUUGUCAUGGCUACAGGUUUGUUUUCUUCUUCCCUAUCAAAAUUGUGUGCGCGAGGAGGGACGGCAGCAGGGUGGUUGAAGGGGUUUAUCUAAAUUUCUUUAUCGAAAAAUUAUACUGUACAUAUAUAAGAUAAAAUAUAUUUUCUAUACUACUUAGUACAACUUAAAAGGAUAGCUUAGUGAUUAAAGGAUUCAACUUAUUUGGGAGUUCGUUGGUUCAAGAUUCUAUAUCCAUGGUCUCUUUUAAUUUUUAACUUUUUCUCUUUUGAAUCUCUUUAACAAAAAUCUUGUCUUCGUCUCCGUGUGUGGGUGUUUCUUUCAGUUUAAGCAUUUCAAAACCACUUAGGCUACUCUUCUAAGCAUUUCCUAUCAAAAAUUGCUAAUUUAUCACGCUUAAAUCCAAAACCUUUAAUUAGGUAUGAGAUUUCAGACAAGUGAAACUUGCUUAGUUGAUAAAAAUACAUUUAGCCACGACUGUUAAUUUUUGGGUUCGAGUCACAGGGUUAAACAACAAAAAGUAUGAGAGUUCAGAUCUCAACUAUCUCAUCACCCACUAGCCCACUUAUCAAAAUUGUCAAUGUAAUCGUACCAUAAAUACCAUUGGGGAGAAGGGGGGGNNNNNNNNNNNNNNNNNNNNNNNNNNNNNNNNNNNNNNNNNNNNNNNNNNNNNNNNNNNNNNNNNNNNNNNNNNNNNNNNNNNNNNNNNNNNNNNNNNNNNNNGGGGGGGGGGGGGGGGGGGGGGGGGGGGAGGUUGUAUAAUUCAAGAUUUGAACAUUAUGGUUUCAUGUUGCGGAUUCUGUCACUAAACUCAUUUGAUUUGCUAGAUUUUAAGUCAGUUAUUCAUAGUAUCUAAUGAAUUUUCAACACUUGAAUAAAUUCCGAGCCUAAAAUAUUGCGUGAUAAAUUAAACUUUACAUUCGUCCCUACGUAAUAUUGUUGUGUUUUCUAAGCUGGAGCACAUUUUUCAAAUAUAAAGUGCUCUAUUCUUUCCUUUUCAAUCUUAUAUUAAACUUGAUGGAAAUGAUUUCUAACCACACAAACUUUUCUGAUUUGUUUUGAACUACACAUUUCAAAAGUGGUUCAUUAUUUGUUAAAUUUAAUGCCGAGUCUUUUUCACUGAGCCGAGAGUCGAUUGAAAACAGCCUCUCUAUCCUUUCGGGUAGGGGUAAGAUCCGUCUGCAUAUUACCCUCUCCAGACCCCAUAUUGAGUAGUUGUUGUUGUUGUUGAUGCCUGAGUCUAUUACUUUCAGAUAACUUGAGACGUAGAGGGAUUAUAUUUAUGUUUUGUGAGAAUAGUGGUACUUUGUAUCCAUUAAAUUAAAAUUUUGGAUGAUUAACGUUGAGGAAAAUUUUCAGAGAUGGGACCAACGACAAUUGCAGAGGCAAGAACCUGUGAGUCUCAGAGCCACCGUUUCAAGGGACCAUGCUCAAGAGAUAGCAACUGUGCCACCGUCUGUUUGACCGAAGGAUUUUCCGGUGGCGACUGCCGUGGAUUCCGCCGCCGUUGUUUCUGUACUAGGCCUUGCUAACUGAGAAUAUUAUCGCUUAAUUAUAUAAGUAAACGUAACUUAAUUUGAAAUAAGCACUAUGAUUGUUCAAAGAUUGACGUGCUAGCUAGUUUGAUUUCUUAAACUAGUGGUCUUGAUCUUUGAUUGUAUGCAACUAUGGUGGUAGACUUUGGUAUGCAUUUCUAUUAUGUAUUUUUGAUUUUCUGUAAUGCUAUUGAGUAAUUUAUCUUCUUCCCUCUCUUUUUUUUUGGCAUUUGUUCAAAGUCAAUCCUAUUUGAACCGACUAGAGAUUUUCUAGGAGUUCUAUUCAAGGUCAGCUUCCUCUUUAUGACUAGACUCUACUAGGGUAAUGUUGUAUUACGAGGCCCGGGCCUAAAUGGCCAAACGUUAAAAUAUCCUGAUAUAACCAGUUUUUAUAUUGAUCAAUAAAAAAUAGCUACUGUU